rnacentral:rRNA from 1 species
AGCAGCCGCGGUAAAUUCCAGCUCCAAUAGCGUAUAUUAAAGUUGUUGCAGUUAAAAAGCUCGUAGUUGAAUUUCGGAAUCCAUCCAUCGGUCGGGCCUCACGGUCCGCACUGGUGUGAUGGAUUUCUACCUUCUGAAUAACCAGCAUGUCAUUAAUUUGGUGCGUUGGGGAAGCAGGACUGUUACCUUGAAAAAAUUGAGUGCUUAAAGCAGGCUAGUGCCUGAAUACAUUAGCAUGGAAUAAUGAAAUAGGACGGCAUGGUUCUAUUUUGUUGGUUUCUAGGAUCACCGUAAUGAUUAAUAGGGAUAGUUGGGGGCAUUAGUAUUCAAUUGUCAGAGGUGAAAUUCUUGGAUUUAUUGAAGACUAACUUCUGCGAAAGCAUUUGCCAAGGAUGUUUU